rnacentral:rRNA from 1 species
AUUGAACGCUGGCGGCAUGCUUUACACAUGCAAGUCGAACGGUAACAGGCCGCAAGGUGCUGACGAGUGGCGAACGGGUGAGUAAUGCAUCGGAACGUGCCCAGUCGUGGGGGAUAACUACUCGAAAGAGUAGCUAAUACCGCAUACGAUCUAUGGAUGAAAGCGGGGGACCGUAAGGCCUCGCGCGAUUGGAGUGGCCGAUGUCAGAUUAGGUAGUUGGUGGGGUAAAGGCUCACCAAGCCAACGAUCUGUAGCUGGUCUGAGAGGACAACCAGCCACACUGGGACUGAGACACGGCCCAGACUCCUACGGGAGGCAGCAGUGGGGAAUUUUGGACAAUGGGCGCAAGCCUGAUCCAGCAAUGCCGCGUGCAGGAAGAAGGCCUUCGGGUUGUAAACUGCUUUUGUACGGAACGAAACGGCUCUGGUUAAUACCCGGGGCUAAUGACGGUACCGUAAGAAUAAGCACCGGCUAACUACGUG